UGUGUCUCCCUCGGUCUCAAAAAUAAAUAAAAACAUUAAAAAAUUUUUGUUUUAAAUAAAUAAAUAAAAAUAACAAUAAAUUCUAGUUCCUCGAAAGUAACUUCCAGUGAAGUUUAAAACAUUUCCACACACUCCAAAAGAUAAGACAGUUUAUCCUUUACCUUAUGUAGAACUUCAAACACCGGGUGUCCGGCUUAAGGCAGCUCCCAGUGAGUGUGGCUUCCUGCCCACCAGUCGCCUCCUGAAAGUUCACGCGAGGACAGGAGGAGGAAGCCCCGAGGCCACCGUGGACUCAUCUCUGGCUACACUGCAGGCUCAUGUCUAAGUACCUCAAAUGUAUCACCUAAGUUAAUCCUCCCCACAAUCCCAGGAGGUUGUUAUCACCCCUGUUUCACAGAUGGGGAGACCAAGGCUCAGAGUCAUGAGGUCAUUUGCCCAAGGUCACUCGCUUGUGCGUGGAAGAGCCCACAUUGGACUGGAACGGUGAGUGCAGAAGCAGCCCUCUGACACGCGAGGCCGCGGAGCUCCCCGGGGCUGCGGAGAACACAUACGUGAUCAGACCUGCGCGUCUGCCCCACCUUCCUUAUUCCCAGUUCUGAGACCACCGUUUCCCAGGCUCACAGACCCCGUCAUCCCCGGGCAGACCCCCCAAGUCUGGGCGCUCCCUCUGUGUUUCACGCUCAGACCGUUCUCUGACCUCCCGUCUGCCCCCUCGCCAUAUUAAUCUGCUAGAACACCGAGGGGACAAUCUCACAUCCUACUCAAAAACGUUCAUUCCUUUCCUACAGAGUGGAGUUCAGGCCCGGCACUCAGGAUUCUGCCACAGACCAGCUCCCCCCUGUUGCCUCAGUAUCCCCUGGGCUCCCCAGCACUCCGGUUCCCCUCUCUUGACGGCAGGUUUCCUCUGGGAGCGGCUCGCCCCGGUACUCCCGCCUGCCACAUACAGGCGACCUUGGCUCUGUGACCUGAGGUGACUCCCAUCAACUUCUCUGCGCCUCUGUGAUUUCACCUGUGAAAAGGAGGGAUUGCCCUCUGCUCCGCUUGCCUCCUGGGCCGUCCGGAUCCAGGGGGACCUCACAUGUCGAAGAAAUAGAACAGGAAUAGCAGAAGCCUGGCCGGACGCCUCAGCCCCUGUUCCUGCUUUCAAGGCGAAUGCAUUUUCUUUGCAUACGUGUGCAUGAAGGAGAAUGAAAUAGUACAAAGUAUCAAGCAAACUCAUAAUGGGCUACCUUGGGAGGGGGCAGGGGCGGGAGGAACCAGGUUUGAGGGUGGGGCAGUUCAUUUCCCUAGAAUACAUAUUCAUAUCUUUGCAGUUAUUUUAGUCUUUUUCAAAGAUAAUUGCACAGCAUUGAAUUGCACUGCCGGAUCCGUGAGGCAGACACAGUCCUUCAGGAGGAAGGAGAGGGGCUACAGUGGUCCGAAGGAUUUUACCAACUGGGAAACUUGCCUGUGGCGAGGAGGACCGAUUUGGAUAAAUGGAAGGGAGCAAAGGCAUUCUCCCAGGGGACCAGCAUGAGCAAAGGGGAGCCAACUAAGAGCCACCCCAAAUGUGGGCUUUGGCUGACGGAGGAAGCAGUGGGGGAGCUGCACCUGUGCAGGGGGCAAAUCUGACCUCUCCCCACCCAGACCAAGGAGUGUGGCAGGAGAUGCACUUGGAGCUCAAGACCACCAGCUUCCCACCCUCUCUGGACGCCGCUCCCUCCCAAACUGCCCGGGGACAGACGGGGCUGAAGCCUGCCGUUCUGGGCUAGAGCCCCGUCCAGGAGCCCCAAGACUGGCCAUGGGAUUGGUGGGCGAGUCCCUGACCCCUCCCAGCCCUGGGCCCCCAUCCCUGAAACGAAGGGACGGGGCCCCUGGCACCUUGCAGCGGUGGCCAGGAGGGUGAAGUGAGACCAGGGCUCAGUCUGGGCACCGCUGUCCGUCCAGGUCGUUUGCUCACAGCACGAAUGAGAAAGUUGGAUGCGGCAGUGGUCAUGAGAGCAGGCUCCUAGUGACAAAGAAUGCUUCCUCUGCGAGGCCCCUCGCAAGCAGCCUCUCCUGGGUCUCCUGGACUCCCAGCCCCACCAGGCCGCGUGUGAACCCCAGUGGGGGAGACAAGAGCCAACCCACUGCCGAAGCUGUCCUGGGAGGCACCCCACGCAGGCUGUGGGAAAUGGCGCCCAUUUCCAGGGGGUCCACCCGACAGACUUACCCGCAAACUUGGGGACCCACGUGUGUGAGAUGGAGGCCUCGCGCCAACAAGGUUCCCACAGAGACCGGCCUCUUCUAGGAGCCGUCUGACGCUGCCUUUCCUCCCUGACCAGGCGAUGAUUCCACUCGCUCUUCCCGAGGCCUCAGCCUUCAGCCCGACCGAAUCACUCAGGGGAGGUCAGAGCUCAUAAUUAUGUCAUUAAUCCUCAUGUGGCAACACACUGGAGGCUGUUUUCUUAGCACGAGGCAGGGCCUUAUGGGGAGCUUCUCUCUCUGCGGCCUUGCCCUGUCUGGGUCCGCAGCCCGGGAGCGGGGAACCUCCUUCCACAGAGCCCAGAGGUGUGGAAAUGUGAUGCUGGGUCUCCCGCACCCAAGAACCUGCACCCCGCUGUGUGUUGUCAGUCUCCUGGGGCUGCUGUAAUAAAUUACCAUAAACUUGGUGGCUUAAAACAACAGAAAUUUAUUUUCUCACUGUCCUGGAAGCCAGGCCAAACAUCAAGGGCCUACUGAGAUGAUCCAAGAUGAUCUCAUCUCAAAAUGCUUAAUAACAUCUGUAGAGACCCCUUUUCCAAAUAAGGUCACAUUCACAUGUUCCCAGUGGACAAAUAUUUUGGGAGGGGCCACCAUUCAGCCCCUACACUCGAGAAGUUGCCUCCACCAGUGCCAAGUAACCGCAUAGACACAUCCCUCCUUGCUAGAUGCCUCUGUCGUCUGCCCUUUCCUCUCCAUCCCAACAGCUACUAUCCUAUUCAGACUCUCCCUUCUAUUGCUGGGACUGGUGCAGUAGACUUCUAACCUGCUCCAUUUUCAUCUCUCAUUCUUUUUACUGCUCCAGAGGGAUGUUUCUAACCACCCAAUUACCCUAUAUCGUUCCUGCUUCACACACUUUAAAAGCGCGAGUCCAAACUCCCAGGUGUGGUGUUGGAGGCCCUGACCGGCCGCUCAUCUGCUGGUGCCUUCCACCAGAGCCACCAACACUGUAAGACCUUUAAACAGACCGUCCUCUCACCUUGCUUACGCUCCUUGUUCAUUUCCCAGUCUACCCACCAGAACUUCUGGGAGGUCUUCCCCAGUCCUGCCACGCGUCCCGAGCACCACCGUCGGCCCCGGCUCCUGUCACUCAUCAGCAUUGUUCGCCGAUAUGCCCAGGGUCUUCUUCAAUAGAGCUGGAGCUCCUUGGGGGCCGGGAUGGCACAUUCUUUACUUUUGUAAAGAGCUCGGCACAUAGCACGUGCUGCGUGAGGUUCACGGUGUAAGUGGCCUCGUAAUGGCAAAUCGCGCAGAAGCAGAGACCCUGCUUAACUCAUUGGCUUGACCCUGACAGCAUCUUCCCCACCCCUCGUAUCCUAAAGCUGUGGGAACUGAGCUCCUACAAUGCACAGCGGAGUAUGCUUGAAAUAAGCAAAGCCUGCCUUGGCCACUAACGCUCUGUACAACUUGGGCAGGUCCCUGGGUUUUUUGGAGUCUCUAUUUCCUCAUCUGAAAACGGACACUGAUUUUGUCGCCCUCAGAACAGUAGUCGUGUAAACACAGAGUCACGACUUGGCCCAGAAAUUCUGCUCCUAGGUAUACGCCCCAGAGAAAUGUGUCCACAAAAGAACCGGUACAUGAAUCGUCAUAGCAUCGUUAUUCAUCAUCGGCAAGAGGCGGAAACAACCCAAGCGCCCAUCGGUGGAUGAACAGAUAAACAAGAUAUAGCGUAUCCAGACACCAGAAUAUUGCUCAGCAGUGGAACGGAAUGAAGUACUGACAUGUGCUACAAUGCGGAUGAACCCGGAAAACGUGAUGCUGAGUAAAAGAAACCAGCCACGAAAAAUCACGUAUUAUGUUUCCAUUUCUAUGACAUGUCCAGAAGAGGCAAGUCUAUAGAGACAGAAAGCAGGACUUGUUACUAAAGAGGAGAAGCAGAGUCUGUUUACCCGGCCCUGGAAUCUAGGCGGGCUCUCACACUGGCUUUGGACAUCGAACGCGGCAGAAGUGACAUUGGCAUCCAGUGCCAGACUUGUGAGCAAGGCCAUCUUGGACAAUAGGCCCCCCACGGAGCCAUCACCUGACUGCCGUCACUGAGGGAGCCCCAGAAACCACUAGAAGAACCGCCACCUAAUCCCAGCCCCAACUCUGACCCUGAGUCACGCGCUAAUAAAUAUUUGUUGUUUUGAGCCACUAAGUUUUGCAGUGGUAUCUUAUGCAGUGGUAACCAACUGACUGACACAGGGACAGACGUUAAUAGAGCCACUUUUUUGUGCCCUUCCCUGCUUUUCCUUUUUUUCAAAAUUUUGUUUGUUUUCUUUAUUUCGAGACAGAGACGGUGCAAGCAGGGGAGGGGC